rnacentral:rRNA from 1 species
GAUGAACGCUGGCGGCGUGCCUAAUACAUGCAAGUCGAGCGAACGGACGAGAAGCUUGCUUCGCUGAUGUUAGCGGCGGACGGGUGAGUAACACGUGGAUAACCUAUCUAUAAGACUGGGAUAACUUCGGGAAACCGUAGCUAAUACCGGAUAAUAUUCUGAAGCGCAUGGGUCAAAAGUGAAAGACGGUCUUGCUGUCACUUAUAGAUGGAUCCGCGCUGCAUUAGCUAGUUGGUAAGGUAACGGCUUACCAAGGCAACGAUGCAUAGCCGACCUGAGAGGGUGAUCGGCCACACUGUAACUGAGACACGGUCCAGACUCCUACGGGAGGCAGCAGUACGGAAUCUUCCGCAAUGGGCGAGAGCCUGACGUAGCGACGCCGCGUGAGUGAUGACGGUCUUCGGAUCGUAAAACUCUGUUAUUAGUGGAGAACAUAUGUUUUAGUAACUGUGCACAUCUUGACGGUACCUAAUCAGAAAGCCACGGCUAACUACGUG